UCAGACCACACACCUACAGACCACACAAUUUUAGGGAAAAUCAUUUCAGCCUCCCAAAUCGCCUCCAUCUCUAUUCUCGUUCUCAACUCUGAACUUGCCCUCUCUCUAUAUCUCUGCAACUACAAACUACAAAAUCUACAAGAAUCAGAUCAGCCUCCCAGAUCGCCUCCAUCUCUAUUCUCGUUCUCAACUCUGAACCUGCCCUCUCUCUGUCUCUGCAACUACAAACUACAAAAUCUACAAGAAUCAGAACCCAUAUCGGCAUAUCAUUUCAGAUUGUUCAAAAAAUCAAAACCUAUAUCCUUCAGUUUCCAUCGCCCACUGUUCUAGUUCGGAUUCGCCGUUCGAAAGCUUCAGCCUCAGGCCCGUUGUCUCUCAACUCUCAAGCCCUCUCUACUCUCUCAUAAGGAUGACGUUGAGUAACGACUUGAAGAUCAGCAAUCGACCAAAAUUACAGAUGUCUACAGGUCAAGAUGUGGAUGAUAUUGAAGAUAAGGUUUCUUCACAUGAGGCUACAAAAAGAAAGGCACCUCUGCUGGAUCAGUCUUGGAGGGCUCAGGAUCUUCUAGGAGCUCAGUGCCAUCAACGAUUAUGAAUGAGUCUCCAUCGAAAAAUGAAAGAAAGCUGCAUGUGAAAACUGAGUUAAUUUCCCCUUUCUAGAUUUUAACACAGCUAUAUAUGUUCAGUUAAAUUAGAAGGAAUUACUUUGAAUCCAUUUAAAGCAGCCGAUUAGUAUAUACCAUUUGAAUUUCUUUGGCAGUAAUAAGGAAUGCUCAAGAAAUAACAUUUCUCCUACUACAGUAAUAUAUUGCAAGAGUUGAGUAAAAAAAAAAUGGAUCAACCACUUGAUUCUGUACGUAUUAGUAAAAAUUCCAUUAGGCCUGCUAGAUUUGGACCAUUUGAUUGGAACAUUCUUUCCCCUUUGAAAAUAAUCUUACUACUAUUUUGUCAGGUUAUAUAUGUCACUGAGUAGCAUACACCUUUGAAAAUAACUAAUAUUGCUUUGUUUGACUUGGAUAGCAACUUGAAGAAACUGAGCUCUGCAAGGACCAUUUUAGUCUUUGUACUCUUUUUCAAGUGUGCUUGAGCUUCUUAGUCAAGGAUUUCAACAGACCCCCCAAAGUUUGACUUAAUAUUGGUUGAAAAUGAAUAUUACAUGUUCCUUUUCCAUACCCAUUUGGCUUUAUAUUACUUCGUGAAUGCACAAUGCUAUUCAGACUAUGGAUUUUUAUCCUUGAUAGAUUAAAUAAGUUCAUAGGUUUUUUUUUUUAAAUUUUUUUUAACUAGGAGAAAAAAGUUUUAAUCCUAUCCAAUUCAAUCCAUUCAAAGAAUAUAGCUUUUAUUUUUGAAAACUGCCAUUUAAAGCCGGUUAUAAGUAUAUGUUGUAUAUUUUAGGUAACUAUUUUUCCUUAGACAAUUUUAUCAUUUUAUAUUUUUUUAUAAAGACAACAUUAGCCAUUCUUCUAUGAACUUGCUUUACUUUAAUUCUCUUACUUCAACUAUUACAUCUUUGUAGGUCAAAGCUAGGAUUGUGGGUUGCGAUUGUUGUUAUUUUUUUUUGUUACCACUAUAUUUUUUGUAUGGCUCAUGAAGAAGUUGCAAGAAGAUAUGAGGAAUUUUUGUUUUAUUUUGGUUAAGUAAAUAUAUAAUGUGUAGAUCAUGUACUUAUUUGAAAUUUGUAUAUGGCUAAUUUUGUAUAAAACAAUGAUUUGGAAUUAGUUAUAUAUAUAUAUAUAUGAUGUUUUUGGUUAGUGGUAAA